GAUUAACUCAGCUGGGAGAGCACCUCCCUUACAAGGAGGGGGUCGGCGGUUCGAUCCCGUCAUCACCCACCA
rnacentral:tRNA from 1 species